AUUGAACGCUGGCGGCAUGCCUUACACAUGCAAGUCGAACGGCAGCAUGGAGAGCUUGCUCUCUGAUGGCGAGUGGCGAACGGGUGAGUAAAGCAUCGGAACGUACCGUGUAGUGGGGGAUAACGUAGCGAAAGUUACGCUAAUACCGCAUACGCACUGAGGUGGAAAGCAGGGGAUCGUAAGACCUUGCGCUAUACGAGCGGCCGAUGUCAGAUUAGCUAGUUGGUAGGGUAAAGGCCUACCAAGGCGACGAUCUGUAGCGGGUCUGAGAGGAUGAUCCGCCACACUGGGACUGAGACACGGCCCAGACUCCUACGGGAGGCAGCAGUGGGGAAUUUUGGACAAUGGGGGCAACCCUGAUCCAGCCAUGCCGCGUGAGUGAAGAAGGCCUUCGGGUUGUAAGGCUCUUUCGGCCGGGAAGAAAUCGCACAGGCUAAUACCCUGUGUGGAUGACGGUACCGGCAUAAGAAGCACCGGCUAACUACGUGCCAGCAGCCGCAGUAA
rnacentral:rRNA from 1 species